rnacentral:SRP_RNA from 1 species
AAUUAUGCUAGUAGUGGGCAUUGUGCCUGUUUAGUCGGUCAGGUCUGAAAGGAAGCAGCCAGAAUGGGAUUCGAUGGGUCAUUACUAGCAUUAUUCUUA